UCCAUAACCUUCUCCUCCAGAAAUUGGGGAGAAUCUAUUAUACUAUUGUUAUUAUAUUAUUAUUAUAUAAUUAUAAUUAGCUUGAAGUAAAUUGACCCUUAAUUCUAAUUAACAAUCUUCAUUAAACUUCACAACCACCCUUAAUUACCUCCUCUGUUUUCUUGUUACUAUUAAUGUUUUCUUUUUCCUCUGUUUUUUCCUCAGUUACUUGUUUCUUCUACUUAUCAUCACGUUCUUCUUCUUUUUUCUCCACAAUUUCUAUGACUACUUUCACUUCGAUUUUCUUCUCAUCAUUGCUUGUUUCUAAUUCAUCGUU
rnacentral:lncRNA from 1 species